GACAUGCUGCCAGUGCUGGCGGCCCGCCUUCCCCACCACAUAGACAACUGUUUGCUCCUCGGACCCCUGGCAGGAAAAAUAUGGUGUGAAGACUAAAUGCUAUAAAAUAGGUUCAGACAGUUUACAGACAAGGAAAGGAGACAAGUGUUCAAAGUGCUCUCAAGCACUUCUACCUGGCCAGACUAUUAUUAUGUGUCCAUUUUAUGGGUUCCAUUUUUAUUCAUCCUCCAAGAACUCUAAACACACUGCUAAACAUGCUGCUAAGUUCAGGUUUCAUAGGUCCACAACUGGCUUGUAGAAACCCAGCAGCAAAUUUUAAAGACUGCAUGCAGUAUUAAACCUUUCCUAAUAAAAGACUGAAAUGAUGGUACAGGCUUCAUGUGUAAAUGUGUUAACCCAUUAUUACAUAUAAUGGCAAAAUAUGAAAACUUUAAGUAGCCAGUAAUAGGUAAACAUAUAGAUAUAUUAUAUAUAAAUAUAUGUAUAAAAAUAUUACAUGUAAUGAUAAAAUAUAGAAAUUUUAAGUAGCAAUAGGUGAAUAUAUAUUAUAUACUUAUAUAUAUAAUAUAUACACAGUUGACAUACUAUUUUGUGAACAUCAGAGAUACUUUAAAGCCACAUUUUAAAAACCAUAUAUAUAUCUAUAUAUAUAUAUAGACAGAUAGAUAGAUACACACACACAUAGAGAAUGGUCAAAACUGUAUAGCAAUAUAGUUACUCUGAUCCAAAACAAGUAUAUAAAAAAAGAACAUAGCUAUGUACAAUGAAACAAAACAAAUCACAAAAAAAGAGAGAAAUUCUACCAAAUUUUUUAUUAAUGUCUCCAAAUGGAAGGCCUAUGGAUGACUUUUUUUUCUCCUACUUGUCUGUAUUUUUCCAUUGUUGGGCAAUUUAUUUCUUUUAUCAAGAUAAAAAAGAAAACAAUGAACCUUUGUCUUUUAACAAAAAAUUGGAUAGGCAAGAAAAAUACUCAAUAUCACCGUGUAACUGUAAGAAAACAAUUUCAAGUUUGAGGGCUAUUCUUAGUCCUAUAUUCUGAGUCAGCGGAUCCAGUGCCAACACAGACAAAGAAGUGGUUUGUACCAUUAUCUCCCCCAUUGCUCUGACAUUGCUCCUGCCAAAGGAAAAAUUGUGGGAAGACAACUGACAAGAUGGGGCAAGUAAAAAAUACACAUCCGCUGCAAAUAAACUCUUGCUCAGCAAGCUCUUCUAUCUUCGUAGACAGAGAGUUUGAAGCAGCUCCUCAGAUUGUAAAAGUUUGAUAAAUACAUCUUUCCGAUGUUGCUGGGUCUCAGAAAUUGACAUAAAUGGUAUUUGAUUACAUACAUUUCCACAGAUAUAUGGCACCACUCUUCACCUUGGACUUUAUAUUGUACAUUCUCAAAUAUGAAAAUGUCUACCUAAACUCAGCUAACCUAGUUCUUAAUUAUUAAGCAACACUGAGAAAAAUAUAGUAAUAAUAGUAGAUAUACUAUUAUUAAUACUUAAUGGUCUCAUUAUCAGUCUCCCUGUACCUUCUCUUGCCCAAUCCAUCAUCCUCAUGGCAGCCACAGUGAUAUUUGUAAAAUGCAAACCCAAUCAUAUUAGAUGCUGCUUAAAACCUCUAAUGGCUCGCAGGGACUCCAAAUAAAGUCCUAACCCCUUAAUGUGUUUGUAAAGCCCUUCAAGAGCCAGCUUGGCCCUGCUCCUCUCCUUACUUUUUUCCCUUUCUUUUCCAUGAACCAUGCUCCACCCAGCACAAGGGACUUCCAGGUCCUGUCAGCAUUCCUCAGUCCAUGGCCUCAAUUUGGCCCAUGUCUGGAGUAGCCGCCCCAUCUAUUACUCUCCAGCACCCUGUACUUCCUCUAUCACAGGCUGGAAGCUCCAUGAAGGCAGAGCUUCACCUUUAUCCUACUCACUGUUCUUUCUCCAGUGCCUCACUGAGUGAAUGAUGAUUAAAAAUUAAAAUGUCAUGCUACAGGAGCCAAAUAUCUGCUGUCCCUGGAAUUCUGCACUCCAAGAUGGUACUUAAGUCUACCUCAGAAAGUAAGACACCUAACUUCACCUUGAUAACCUGCUAUAAAUAAUUUCCUCAUUGCUUUAAAUCUCCCUUGAAAAUCAGAACUGUCAAACUGCUUAAGGAAGUAAGUUUCCUAUAUUUACUUUUAAUUAUGUAUAUGUCUAUUCUAUAAAUUGGUUCUACAACUCAACCACUUGUAUGAAGAGCCACAAAAUCUUCAACAGCUCCCCAUUUCACUCAGGUAAAAGCCAAAGUCCUUAAAAUAGUCUAGAACAGCACUGUCCAAUACAAAUAUAAAAUAAGUCAUAUAUGCAGCUUAAAAUUUUCUAGUAGUCUCAUUAAAAAAGAAAUGGAUAGAAUUAAUGUUAAUAAUAUACCUGUAUUUUACUUAAGCUAACAUAUCCAAAAUAUCAUCAUUUUAACAUAUAAUCAAUAUUAAGUUAUUAAUAAAAGACUACAUCUUUGAAAUUCUAUAUUUUAUACAACCAGAACAUUUCAAUUUAGAUACUAAAUUUUCAUCAGAAAUACUUAAUCUAUUUCUAGAGUUCAUAAAAUUUGUAGUUGAAAAAGAAGAUUCACAUACCCAAGUUAUUCCAAACAUAGUUUUUCCAACAUACAGAAGUUUUCCAAUGACUGUAUCUAGUAACUUUUGUUUUGUUUAUUUGUUUUUGUUUUUGAGAGAGGGUCUCACUCUGUCACCCGGGCUAGGAGCUCACUGCAGCCUCCAGCUCCCAGACUCUGGAAAUCCUCCCACCUCAGACCCCCGAGUAGCUGGGACCAUGGGUGCAUGCCACCAUGUCUGGCUACUGUUUUGUAUUUUUUGUAGAGAUGGGGUUUCACUAUGUUGCCCAGGCUGGUCUUGAACUCCUGGGCUCAAUUGACCUGCCCACCUCAGCCUCCCAAAGUACUGGGAUUACAGGUGUGAGACACUGUGCCCAGCCUAGUAUCCAUUUUUAAAAUUAAAAUUUAGUUUUUCAGUCACUCUAGCCACAUUUCCAGCGCUCAAUAGCUACACGUGGCUAGUGGCUAACAUACUGGAUAGUGCAGGCCUUCAAAUGCCCUAGGAGGUGACCUGGCCCCACCAUCCUCCUGCCCUCUUUACCUCAUAUUAAUUUUCCUGUCUCAUUUCCUGUCAGUCUCCCACAGUGGCCACCUUGCUAUUCCUGCUUCUCAACUAUACCAGACAGACUCUCACCUUAGAACCCUGCCCUUGGUUAUUCCUCAACCUGGAAUGCUCCUGUCCCAGAUACUCACAUGACUAACUUCUUUUCCUUCUUCAAAUCUUUGGAUAAAAUGUUAUCUUCUCAAUGAGGCUUAUAUCGACAUUCUAUUUAAAAUCACAAUUGCACCCACUCCCACCUCUUUUCCACAGGAUUUGCCACCUUCUAACAUAACACAGAGUUUUCUUUCUUGUUUUUAUUUUUUUUAUUUUUAUGACUGUGUCUGUCUCUAUCCCCUUUCCCACCAAAUUUAAGCUUCACAAUGGCAAGAAUCUUUGUCUGUUUUAUAGACUGACCUGUACCAAACACCAAGAACAGAGUCUCACUCAGUAAGUAUUUGUUGAACGGAAUUGAACUUGGAAGAAACAGUGUGUUGAUAUAACAAUCAUGAAUGUUCUUAGAGCUAAGAGAUGCUACUUCAACCAUGAAAUAACCAGAAAGAUAUCUACUCCAACCUCAACCCAGUAAUAAUAAAGACACCUUUACUCUUCAUUCGUUCUUAUUAAAAAAAACUGGAUUAUAAAUUUAAGGAAAUCUCUCAGAAAAUAGAGCAAAGUGAUGAGAAGGAAAAUAAGACAGUUUGAUAAGAAAUUUAGGUAACUACUUCUGGAAGUCUAAUAUGCACAUAUUAGGAAUUCUAGAGAGACAGAACAGAGGAAACUGAGAAAAAGAAAAUUUCGUAAAGGUGAAGGAUGGCAUCAUAGAGAUCCACGGAAGAAAUUCUUCAGGACCCAGAGCCAGAAAUAUUACACUUUUACUCUCACUUUACCUGGGGAACUUUGGUCUUAAGGGAACUUAAAGCCAAAUCUGCAAUCGACAUUAGCAAACAGGGAAGCGGGCAUGGCUGCAUUCCAACCACCCCUGGCAAGAACCAUUUUAUCAUCCUUAUUUUUCACUUGACAUCCUUUCUAUAUAAACAUAUAUAUAUAUAUAUUUUUUUUUUUUUUUUUUUUUUUUUUUUUUUUGAGAUGAAGUCUCCCUCUGUUGCCCAGGCUGGAGUGCAGUGGCACAAUCUCAGCUUGCUGCAACCUCUGCCUCCCAGGAUCAAGUGAUUCUCAUGCCUCAGCCUCUCAAGUAGCUGGGUUUAGAGGUGCCCACCACCAUGCCCAGUUACCUUUUUUGUAUUUUUUAGUAGAGAUGGGGUUUUACCAUGUUGGCCAGGGUUGGUCUUGAACUCCUGACUGCAAGUGAUCCACCUACCUCGGCCUCCCAAAGUGCUGGGAUUACAAGCGUGAGCCACCACACCAGACCCUUUUUUACCUUUAAAAAAAAAAAAUCAGCUGAAUUGUGGGCAUUUUUAAUAAGCCAUUUCAAAUUCUUUUUGGAAUCGAGAUGGGGUAAGUUAAUAAAUAAAGCCCCACCCACUUAAAAAAGAAAACAAAACUCUAUGCUAAUUAAUGUUUGUUUACUAGUAGAAAAUUUGGGCUGACCUAAAUUUUUCUGCAUAAAAAUGAGGGUUGGGCCGGGUGCAGUGGCUCAGGCCUGUAAUCCCAGCACUUUGGGAGGCCGAGAUGGGCAGAUCACAAGGUCAGGAGUUCGAGACCAGCCUGACCAACAUGGUGAAACCCCGUCUCUACUAAGAAUACAGAAAUUAGCCAGGCGUGGUGGCAUGUGCCUGUAAUCCCAGCUACUCGGGAAGCUGAGGCAGGAGAAUCACUUGAACCUGGGAGGCGGAACUUACAGUGAGCCAAGAUCGCGCCACUGCACUCCAGCCUGGGCGACACAGCGAGACUGUCUCAAAAAAAAAAAUGAAGGUUGAUGCAACCUCUCCAUUAAAGCAACAUACCAACAGCAGAGAAGGAAGCUCAAAACAAAGAGAUAAAUAAGAGACUCACUAAUAACAGAUGAGAAUUCAAGGGCAUUAAAAUAAAGCAUAAAGGCAAGUUGCACUAAACUCAAUAUGCUGUCCUAGAACAGCAAAAGGACAUUAAUGGAAAAACUGGUGCAAUUCGAAUAUGCAUAGUUUAGUUAGCAGUCUUACAGCAAUAGUAAUUUCUUAGUUUUGACAAAUAUGCCAUAGUUAUAAAAUGUUAAACACCAAGGAAAGCUGGGUGAAAGGUAUAUGAAAACUCUCUGUAGUAUCAUUCCAACUCUUCUGUAAACCUAACAAUAUUCCCACAUAAGUUGGGGGCGGGGGGAUAAAAGGUUGCCUCACAAAGAUGGAGAGAGAGGAUACAUUUGUCAAAACUCAACCAACUUUAUAAUGAAACUGUAUGCACAUUAUACCCCACAAAGUUGAUAAGGCAAAAAAUAAAAAAUAAAAGCUAGUUGCAAAAGUAUAGAAACAUGAUUACACCAUUUACAUAAGCCUCAGUAACACAGAAAACAAUCAUAUAUAUUGCUUCUACAUGAAUAGGAGUGAUAUAUACCAAAUUCGGGGCAGAAGUCACUUUGGAGGAAGGCGGGAGGCAGACCCAGGACUAGGGCAAGGCAAGUGA
rnacentral:lncRNA from 10 species